UUGAGCGGUAGCAAUCUUCAACGGACGAUAUCUUCCUUAUUUUCUUUCUAUUGCGAUAAAAUUGCUGAACUUUAACCUAAAAAUGAUAAAGUUAAAUCGAUAUAUUCCCGAGAAGCUACGCUAAAGAUACUGCCUAAACUAUUUGAGAUGGUACAAAGCAUAUUCCACACCAAUAGAUGUUUUUACAAGUAGAUCAAAUACGUUGGAGGCACACAAAAUCGAAAAAUCCCAAAAUUCAGUUGAAAAAGAUUCAAUGUUUGGAUUAAAAACCCUGACAUAUCGCAGCAACGCCGGAUGCUUCACCAUAGAUAUGACUGAUUACGUCACACUAAUGGUAAAAGACGAUGUAGACACACCAUAUAAUGCAGAAAUACAAAUAUUAUUUUUU